rnacentral:rRNA from 1 species
GACAGGAGGGUGCAAACGUUGUUCGGAAUUACUGGGCGUAAAGCGUGUGUAGGCGGUCCAUUAAGUCGGGUGUGAAAGCCCUGGGCUCAACCCAGGAAGUGCACUCGAAACUGGCGGGCUAGAGUAUCGGAGAGGUUGGUGGAAUUCUCGGUGUAGAGGUGAAAUUCGUAGAUAUCGAGAGGAACACCGGUGGCGAAGGCGGCCAACUGGACGAAUACUGACGCUGAGACACGAAAGCGUGGGGAGCAAACAGG